GAUGAACGCUGGCGGCGUGCCUAAUACAUGCAAGUCGAGCGAACGGACGAGAAGCUUGCUUCCCUGAUGUUAGCGGCGGACGGGUGAGUAACACGUGGAUAACCUACCUAUAAGACUGGGAUAACUUCGGGAAACCGGAGCUAAUACCGGAUAAUAUUUUGCACCGCAUGGUUCAAAAGUGAAAGACGGUCUUGCUGUCACUUAUAGAUGGAUCCGCGCUGCAUUAGCUAGUUGGUAAGGUAACGGCUUACCAAGGCAACGAGGGAUAGCCGACCUGAGAGGGUGAUCGGACACACGGGAAGUGAGGCACGGUCGAGACUCCGGCGGGAGGACGCAGUCGGGAAUCUUACGCAAGGGGGGAGAGCGGAACGGAGGAACGCCGCGGGAGGGAUGAAGGAGUUCGGAUCGGAAAACGAUGUUAUUAGGGAAGAAGAUAUGUGUAAGUAACUGUGCAGAUCUUGACGGUACCUAAUCAGAAAGCCACGGCUAACUACGUG
rnacentral:rRNA from 1 species